GAUGAACGCUGACAGAAUGCUUAACACAUGCAAGUCUACUUGAACUUCGGUUUGGGUGGCGGACGGGUGAGUAACGCGUAAAGAACUUGCCUCACAGAUAGGGACAACAUUUGGAAACGAAUGCUAAUACCUGAUAUUAUGAUUUUAGGGCAUCCUAGAAUUAUGAAAGCUAUAUGCACUGUGAGAGAGCUUUGCGUCCCAUUAGCUAGUUGGAGAGGUAACGGCUCACCAAGGCGAUGAUGGGUAGCCGGCCUGAGAGGGUGAUCGGCCACAAGGGGACUGAGACACGGCCCUUACUCCUACGGGAGGCAGCAGUGGGGAAUAUUGGACAAUGGACCAAGAGUCUGAUCCAGCAAUUCUGUGUGCACGAUGAAGUUUUUCGGAAUGUAAAGUGCUUUCAGUUGGGAAGAAAAAAUGACGGUACCAACAGAAGAAGUGACGGCUAAAUACGUG
rnacentral:rRNA from 1 species